GCCAGGCAUGGUGGCGCACGCCUGUAAUCUCAGCUACUCAGGAGGCUGAGGCAGGAGAAUCAUUUGAACCCGGGAGAUGGGGGUUGCAGUGAGCCGAGGUCGUGCCACUGCACUCCAUCCUGGGCAACAGAGUGGGACUCUGUCUCAA
rnacentral:SRP_RNA from 1 species